CUACGGGGGGCUACAGUGAGGAAUUUUGCGCAAUGGGGGAAACCCUGACGCAGCAACGCCGCGUGAGUGAAGAAGGCCUUUGGGUCGUAAAGCUCUGUCAACAGGGAAGAAGUUACAAUUGUUUAAUAAAUGAUUGUAUUGACGGUACCUGUGGAGGAAGCGCCGGCUAACUCCGUGCCAGCAGCCGCGGUAACACGGGGGGCGCAAGCGUUAUUCGGAAUUAUUGGGCGUAAAGGGCGCGCAGGCGGUCUUGUCCGUCAGGGGUGAAAGCUCGGGGCUCAACCCCGGAAGUGCACUUGAAACAGCAAGACUUGAAUACGGGAGAGGAAAGCGGAAUUCCUGGUGUAGAGGUGAAAUUCGUAGAUAUCAGGAGGAACGCCGAUGGCGAAGGCAGCUUUCUGGACCGAUAUUGACGCUGAGGCGCGAAGGCGUGGGGAGCAAACAGGAUUAGAUACCCCAGUAGUC
rnacentral:rRNA from 1 species